rnacentral:rRNA from 1 species
UGCCAGCAGCCGCGGUAAUACAGAGGUGGCGAGCGUUAUUCGGAAUUAUUGGGCGUAAAGGGCGCGUAGGCGGCUUGACAAGUCCCGGGUGAAAUCCCUCGGCUCAACCGAGGAACUGCCUUGGAAACUGUCUGGCUUGAGGCCGGGAGAGGGUAGUGGAAUUCCCAGUGUAGCGGUGAAAUGCGUAGAUACUGGGAGGAACACCGGUGGCGAAGGCGGCUACCUGGACCGGUUCUGACGCUGAGGCGCGAAAGCUAGGGGAGCAAACGGGAUUAGAUA